GACGAACGCUGGCGGCGUGCCUAAUACAUGCAAGUCGAGCGGACCGAACGAGGGCUUGCUCUUGUUUGGUCAGCGGCGGACGGGUGAGUAACACGUGGGCAACCCGCCCGCAAGACCGGGAUAACUCCGGGAAACCGGAGCUAAUACCGGAUAACACCGAAGACCGCAUGGUCUUCGGUUGAAAGGCGGCCUUUGGGCUGUCACUUGCGGAUGGGCCCGCGGCGCAUUAGCUAGUUGGUGAGGUAACGGCUCACCAAGGCGACGAUGCGUAGCCGGCCUGAGAGGGUGACCGGCCACACGGGGACUGAGACACGGCCCAGACGCCUACGGGAGGCAGCAGUAGGGAAUCCUCCGCAAUGGGCGAAAGCCUGACGGAGCGACGCCGCGUGAGCGAAGAAGGCCUUCGGGUCGUAAAGCUCUGUUGUGAGGGACGAAGGAGCGCCGUUCGAAGAGGGCGGCGCGGUGACGGUACCUCACGAGAAAGCCCCGGCUAACUACGUGCCAGCCGCCGCGGUAA
rnacentral:rRNA from 1 species